rnacentral:rRNA from 1 species
CCUACGGGUGGCAGCAGUGAGGAAUAUUGGUCAAUGGUCGCGACACUGAACCAGCCAAGCAGCGUGAGGGAUGAAGGUACAGAGUAUCGUAAACCGCUUUUGUCAGGGGACAAAGACUGGGACGCGUCCCCGGAUGAGUGUACCUGAAGAAAAAGCAUCGGCUAACUCCGUGCCAGCAGCCGCGGUAAUACGGAGGGUGCGAGCGUUAUCCGGAUUUAUUGGGUUUAAAGGGUGCGCAGGCGGCCCCUUAAGCGAGCUGUGAAAGGCCGCGGCUCAACCGCGGCCCUGCAGCGCGACCUGGGGGUCUUGAGUGGGCCGGAGGUAGGCGGAAUGCGUGGUGUAGCGGUGAAAUGCUUAGAUAUCACGAAGAACUCCGAUUGCGAAGGCAGCCUACCGUAGCGUUACUGACGCUGAGGCACGAAAGCGUGGGUAUCGAACAGGAUUAGAUACCCGAGUAGUC